UCACGCCACUGAACUCCAGCCUGGGCAGCAAGAGCAAAACUCUGUCUCAAAAAAAAAAAAAGGAUUCUUGAAGGGGUAGUGGAGUUUCUGCACCUCAACAGAAUUCCCCCUUCUCCAGUGAAAAAAGUAUACAAGCAAAACCACGAAAAAGAUUUACAGAGAGAAACAGCAAGUUUACUCUUGAUAUGAAGACUAAAAAUAUCAAGGGGAGAUGCUGGUGUGCA